rnacentral:rRNA from 1 species
GUGAUCUCGGACUCGCGGGGAGGAGUGCAUUUAUUAGAACAAAACUAACGGGCCUCGGCCCUUGGUUUGGUGAAUCUGAAUAACUGCGCUGAUCGCACGGUCCUCGCACCGGCGACAUAUCUUUCAAGUGUCUGCCUUAUCAACUUUCGAUGGUAGUUUAUGUGCCUACCAUGGUUGUAACGGGUAACGGAGAAUCAGGGUUCGACUCCGGAGAGGGAGCCUGAGAAACGGCUACCACAUCCAAGGAAGGCAGCAGGCGCGCAAAUUACCCACUCUCGGCACGAGGAGGUAGUGACGAAAAAUAACGAGACGGUUCUCUCAGAGGCCCGUCAUCGGAAUGGGUACAAUUUAAACCCUUUAACGAGGAUCUAUUGGAGGGCAAGUCUGGUGCCAGCAGCCGCGGUAAUUCCAGCUCCAAUAGCGUAUAUUAAAGUUGUUGCGGUUAAAAAGCUCGUAGUUGGAUCUGCGGCCUCGGCGGCCGGUCGCCCACAGGGUUUGUACUGGUGCAGUCGAGGCCUACUCGGUCGGAUUGUCGGCAGUGCCUUUAACCGGGUGCUGUUCGACGGCCGACACGUUUACUUUGAAAAAAUUAGAGUGCUCAAAGCAGGCUCGAGGCCUGAAUAGUGGUGCAUGGAAUAAUGGAAUAGGACCUCGGUUCUAUUUUGUUGGUUUUCGGAGCUCGAGGUAAUGAUUAAGAGGGACGGACGGGGGCAUUCGUAUUGCGGCGUUAGAGGUGAAAUUCUUGGAUCGCCGCAAGACGGACAACUGCGAAAGCAUUUGCCAAGAAUGUUUUCAUUAAUCAAGAACGAAAGUAGAGUCGAGCGAAGGUC